GCAGAGCACUCCGUACGGGAGGCAGCAGUGGGAAUAUUGCACAAUGGGCGCAAGCCUGAUGCAGCCAUGCGCGUGUAUGAAGAAGGCCUUCGGGUUGUAAAGUACUUUCAGCAGUGAGGAAGGUGGGUAUGUUAAUAGCAUACUCAUUUGACGUUAGCUGCAGAAGAAGCACCGGCUAACUCCGUGCCAGCAGCCGCGGUAAUACGGAGGGUGCGAGCGUUAAUCGGAAUUACUGGGCGUAAAGCGCAUGCAGGUGGUUUGUUAAGUCAGAUGUGAAAGCCCGGGGCUCAACCUCGGAAUUGCAUUUGAAACUGGCAAACUAGAGUACUGUAGAGGGGGUAGAAUUUCAGGUGUAGCGGUGAAAUGCGUAGAGAUCUGAAGGAAUACCGGUGGCGAAGGCGGCCCCCUGGACAGAUACUGACACUCAGAUGCGAAAGCGUGGGGAGCAAACAGGAUUAGAUACCCUGGUAG
rnacentral:rRNA from 1 species